AAAUGUGUAGCACCCAGAAUGUAAAUAAUUUAUAGCUCUCUGCCUUGGUGGUACAUGCCAAUUGCCAGAGACAAAAAAUAAUUCUCAAAUCAUAUUCACAUAUAUCAUCUUUUAGGAACUCCAGGUAUAACAAACGUUUGUGCCUUUAACCUUCUGGGCAGGUGAUAUGAAGUUCAUUCAUCUAAAGAAGUUAUUCAAAUAA
rnacentral:lncRNA from 1 species